rnacentral:rRNA from 1 species
AGAACGAACGCUGGCGGCAGGCCUAACACAUGCAAGUCGAACGAGAAGCCACCUUCGGGUGGUGGACAGUGGCAGACGGGGGAGUAACGCGUGGGAACGUGCCUUUCGGUUCGGGACAACCCAGGGAAACUUGGGCUAAUACCGGAUACGCCCUUCGGGGGAAAGAUUCAUUGCCGAAAGAUCGGCCCGCGUCGGAUUAGCUAGUUGGUGGGGUAAAAGCCUACCAAGGCGACGAUCCGUAGCUGGUCUGAGAGGAUGACCAGCCACACUGGGGACUGAGACACGGCCCCAGACUCCUACGGGAGGCAGCAGUCGGGGAAUUAUUGGACAAGUGGGCGCAAGCCGUGA